CACGUGAGGGCGCGAGCGUUUGUCCGGAAUUAUUGGGCGUAAAGAGCUCGUAGGCGGCCUGUUGCGUCCGCUGUGAAAAGCCCGGGGCUUAACCCCGGGUCGGCAGUGGAUACGGGCAGGCUAGAGGUAGGUAGGGGAGAAUGGAAUUCCCGGUGUAGCGGUGAAAUGCGCAGAUAUCGGGAGGAACACCGGUGGCGAAGGCGGUUCUCUGGGCCUUCCUGACGCUGAGGAGCGAAAGCGUGGGGAGCGAACAGGAAUUAGAU
rnacentral:rRNA from 1 species